rnacentral:rRNA from 1 species
UUUCGGAGAGUUUGAUUCUGGCUCAGAACGAACGCUGGCGGCGUGGAUAAGACAUGCAAGUCGAACGGAAUAGUCUGGUAGUAAUAUUAGGUUAUUUAGUGGCGAACGGGUGCGUAACACGUGGGUAACAUGCCGGGAAGUAUGGGAUAGCCCAGGGAAACUUGGAUUAAUACCAAAUGUGAUCGAAAGAUUAAAGGCGGGGUAACCUGCCGCUUCCUGAUUGGCCCGCGGCCUAUCAGCUAGUUGGUGAGGUAAAGGCUCACCAAGGCUACGACGGGUAGCUGGUCUGAGAGGAUGGCCAGCCACACUGGAACUGAGACACGGUCCAGACACCUACGGGUGGCAGCAGUCGAGAAUCAUUCACAAUGGGGGAAACCCUGAUGGUGCGACGCCGCGUGGAGGAUAAGGUCUUCGGAUUGUAAACUCCUGUCAUGCGAGAGCAAAGUUAGGCGGGUAACUCCGUAUAACCUGAUAGUAUCGCAAGAGGAAGAGACGGCUAACUCUGUGCCAGCAGCCGCGGUAAUACAGAGGUCUCAAGCGUUGUUCGGAAUUACUGGGCGUAAAGGGUGCGCAGGCUGCGUGGAAAGUCAGAUGUGAAAUCCGGGGGCUCAACCUCCGAAUUGCAUCCGAUACUACCAUGCUAGAGAACUGGAGGGGAGUCUGGAAUUCUCGGUGUAGCAGUGAAAUGCAUAGAUAUCGAGAGGAACACUAGUGGCGAAGGCGAGACUCUGGACAGUAUCUGACGCUCAUGCACGAAGGCCAGGGGAGCGAACGGGAUUAGAUACCCCGGUAGUCCUGGCAGUAAACGGUGCACGUUUGGUGUGGGGGGAUUCGACCCCUUCCGCGCCGGAGCUAACGCGUUAAACGUGCCGCCUGGGAAGUACGAUCGCAAGAUUAAAACUCAAAGAAAUUGACGGGGACCCGCACAAGCGGUGGAGUAUGUGGCUUAAUUCGAUGCAACGCGAAGAACCUUACCUGGGCUUGACAUGCUCUGUGUCUACGGUGAAAGCCGUAUAGUGUAGCAAUACACGCUUUGCACAGGUGCUGCAUGGCUGUCGUCAGCUCGUGUCGUGAGAUGUUGGGUUAAGUCCCGCAACGAGCGCAACCCUUGUGAUUUGUUGCCACCGGAGCAAUCCGAGCACUCGAAUCAGACUGCCCAGAUCAACUGGGAGGAAGGUGGGGAUGACGUCAAGUCAGUAUGGCCCUUACGCCCAGGGCUGCACACGUACUACAAUGCCCAGCACAAUGUGAACCGAAACCGCGAGGUGGAGGAAAUCUCUUAAAACUGGGCUCAGUUCAGAUUGCAGGCUGCAACUCGCCUGCAUGAAGUUGGAAUCGCUAGUAAUGGCACAUCAGCUACGGUGCCGUGAAUACGUUCCCGGGUCUUGUACACACCGCCCGUCACAUCAUGGAAGCUGGUUUCGCCCGAAGCGCUAUAGCCAACCGCAAGGAAGCAAGGCUCUAAGGCAAGACUGGUAACUGGGAUGAAGUCGUAACAAGGUAGCCGUAGGGGAACCUGCGGCUGGAUCACCUCCUUUCU